rnacentral:lncRNA from 1 species
CAACUUUUUGCAGACAGGAAGAUGUUUCAUCAGAGCUACCUAGGAAGGAGCAGGCCCUAGGGCCACAUACAACUCAGAAAACUGGAAAUCAGUACUAAAAGGAACCUUACAGACCUGCCAGCCCAGUCUGUUCAUCUAAUAAACACUGGAAGAGCACACGUCCGUCACAAACCAUGAGGACAAUGAGCCCACUUAUGUACCCAUGGCUCUUACCCAGUAAGCUCAAUUUAUGGAAGAAUCUUGGAACCACUGUCUAUCCACUGGGGCCUUACCUAAUGCUUCCCUCUCAUACUCUCACCUUUGAACUGUGUCUCUUAUGUUCCAGAAUGGUUUGGUUCUUUUGUUUUGACCCUUGACUCUCUCACUUGGAAUGGACUGAUACUCAACAUCUUUACCUGUCUGCUUCUGGCUGUUUAGGGUAAAUGUUCUGCCUGAUUGAGCUCUGGUCCCUGGUCUAUGAGCCCUGAGCUGCUAUCAGCGAGCUUGACCACCCAGGCCACCCCUGAGGGUACCUGAAACCUACUGGAUGUGCAAGGCCCCACACAUAAUUCUGAAAAGAGAACUUGAUCAGUCCAUCUAGUAACCCUCAGCUAGCACUCUUCAUCUGUUUCUAAACGAUGAGUCUUGAUCAUAGUGUACAGGAUGUAGUACUAUGCUGUUAGGGUUUAAGUGUUUGUUCUCUCCAAAACUCACAUUGAAAUUUGGUUUUCCUUGUGGCAGUGUUAGGAAGUGGGACCUUUGGGAAGUGACUUGAGUCUUGAGGAUGCCACUUUUAUGGGUGGGAUUAAUAUAGAUAUAAAAAAGUAAGCUCAGUCCCCUUUAAUUUUUUGUGUUCUUCCUCUCCUCUACCAUAUAAGGAAUAUUGUUCUUCAUUCUGCAGAAUGCAGCAUUUAAGGUGCCUUAACUCAGCUCCCUGGUUCUCACCACUCACCAAACCUGCUGGUGCUUUGACCCUGGACUUCCCAGUCUCCAGAACUGUGGGUCAA